rnacentral:rRNA from 1 species
GACGAACGCUGGCGGCGUGCCUAAUACAUGCGAGUAGAACGCUGAAGGAGGAGCUUGCUCUUCUGGAUGAGUUGCGAACGGGUGAGUAACGCGUAGGUAACCUGCCUGGUAGCGGGGGAUAACUAUUGGAAACGAUAGCUAAUACCGCAUAAGAGUAGAUGUUGCAUGACAUUUGCUUAAAAGGUGCAAUUGCAUCACUACCAGAUGGACCUGCGUUGUAUUAGCUAGUUGGUGGGGUAACGGCUCACCAAGGCGACGAUACAUAGCCGACCUGGGAGGGUGAUCGGCCACACUGGGACUGAGACACGGCCCAGACUCCUACGGGAGGCAGCAGUAGGGAAUCUUCGGCAAUGGACGGAAGUCUGACCGAGCAACGCCGCGUGAGUGAAGAAGGGUUUCGGAUCGUAAAGCUCUGUUGUAAGAGAAGAACGAGUGUGAGAGUGGAAAGUUCACACUGUGACGGUAUCUUACCAGAAAGGGACGGCUAACUACGUG